AUCAUAAACGAAGAAUUCCUAAAUUAACAGUUUUGUCCUGCAUAUACUUCCUCAGUGGAAAAUAAAGUCUAUAAUCAU